rnacentral:lncRNA from 1 species
UAGGGCAGUCAUUUGUUCCCGCCGGUGCAGCUUCUGGUACAACUGGCUCUACUGUUGGAGUUGGGAUUUCAGCUUCCAGUCAGUUGACCCAGCGUCAGUCUCAGCCAUCCCAGCCCCAACCUCAACACCAACCGCAGCCCCAACCUCGCCACCAACCCCAUCCCCAGCCCCAACCUCAGCAUCAUCCCCGGCCCCAACCCCACCACCAACCCCAGCCCCGACCCCAACACCAACCCCACUACCAGCCCCAAUCCCCCUGGCCGAAAAUGACUCCAGCUGAUGUCCAGAAA